AAACAAAAAGUGCGCUAUAUGCACCACUUG
rnacentral:tRNA from 1 species